rnacentral:lncRNA from 1 species
GCAGACGUUGCAGUUCAGUCUUUACGGGGGUGACAAUGAACCUGCAUGACUUAUUUUAAGUCACCAACACCUGCCAAUGAGCGCGGUCAUCUUGGAAGCUCUCAACUGUCUUGGAGCAUUAAGGCAGUCAAGCUGCAUUAAUCCUGUUGGGACCCACCUCAGAUCUCAUGUCCCAUUAGCCCCUCUGAUGACAAUCUCCAGCCUUCAAGCGUCAACUCGGAGUCCUUCAGAACCAAAGCCGAACUCUCCCGAGAGAGCUGUGGUCCUGGGGUUGGAAACCAGGCCUGCCGAGAGAGAGGGGGUUGGCUCCCACGGGUGGGUGUUAGGGUCCUCUGCACCUGUCCUUCUGCCUGGACUGGAGGCAAAGCCAACCUGGGCUGCCCCUCAGUCUUUGCAGAACUCAAUGCUCGUGCUUUCAAUAGUGUGAAAACAGGCAGGUUGGUGGUGCCCAGGCUGAGACAGAAAAACAACUUGGUGGUUUGACAGAACCUUCGAGCAGCCACCACGAGGCCACUGCUGCUUCUCCUCUUCCCUCUCCCACUCGUCCAACUGUCCUGAGGAAAAUCUCACCCUCCGUUUGUCCUCUGCGGGCCUGUCAUUCUGUCCUCUGGCUGCAGGGAAAGGACGCUGUCCGCAUUUCCACAAACAGCUCGAUGCAGGGGCUUUGUGGAGGGGCCUUUCUUAUCUGGGCUCUCCUUUCUCAGAACAAUGUUCAGGGCCAGUUCCAAUUUGGGGAUUAAUCUAACCAAAGGACAGAAUCUACUCCUCUGCACAGAGAAUGCUCUCUGGUCCUUUGUUUAUCUGUCUUCCUCCCACCCCCUCCCUGUUUCACCCUAAUCUUUGGAGCUUAAAAAGGCUUAGAAUGCUUCUUAGGCAUGGAAUCGUUUUUAUAAGGCAACUAUUGAUGAGCUAAACAGAAAUGACUUCCAAACAGCGUGUGAACUUUCCUCCAUGACUGCAUUGCCGGAUGCCAAGCAAAAGGGGAAGAAGAGUCUUCCUAUUGUCCUAUGUCAUCAGAGAUCUAAUUCCUGGGAGAAGGCUGACCAUCAGGAUGUUCACAUAUGGAACGUUGAGCCUGCCUUCAAGGCUGCGAUGCAGGGUAGCCUUCUCCAUUCACCCAAUUGGUGACAAUCAGCUCAGUGGUCUCACCCCAGCGCAGACCGAGCCCUGGGCACUCUGACCACAGCCUGAGAGGAGAGCUACUUCCUUUCGCAUCAUCCUACUGCUGUCCUUCCAUCGAAUCACAGCAAAAUUCUAUUAUAAUGAAAAGAUUCUAUUAUAUUAGAAUCACAGCACUCCAGUUGCCCCUCGCAGUUUCAACCCUACUUUCACAGGCGUUCUCUCAUUUGCUGCUUACCACAAUGCCCUGAGGAAAGGAACAAGGAGAUAAAAGAGCAUGGGCUGAGAAGAGUCCAGCAGCUUCCGGAGGGUGACUCACCACCGAGAGCAUCUGAUGGAAAGGCUUUUUAUCUGGAUGCCUGGCACCAGGCGAAGCGUUCCUCCGCGGUGGGCUCGGACCCGGAGAACAGCGCUUCUGAGCCGUUCCUUUACCAGCAGAGACUUCCAUGGAAGGUCCCACCUCACUCCGUGGCCCUUCCCUCCCUUGCGUGUGGGCUCAGCCUUGGGACACAGCUAUAGCACAGUGGUUAGAGCACAGGCUCUGAAGUCAGGCUGCCUGGGUUCAGAUCUUUCUUCUGCCACUCAGUCACUACGAGAUCUUAGGGAAGUUUGUUAACGUCUGUGCACGUCAGCGAUCCAUCUGUCAAAGGGGGAUGAUAAUUCCCUCCCCGUCAUGGCGAGGAUGGAGUGAGGCAGUACAUGCUUAGAAUAGUUCCUGGCACAGAGGAAUUUCUCGCUCUCCGUCUGCUUCCAGCCUCCCAUUUCCAGCUGCCCUCAGGAAAUUGCCACUGGAUGUCCCCAAGGCACCUCCAACGCCACGAGCCUGAAACAAAGCACAUCCUCUCCUCUGUGCCGAGACCCCCUUCCUGCUGAAGGCGCCCUUAUCCUCCCAGCCCGUGGAGCUCCAGGUCAGAAGCAGCUUUGAUGGCACCUCUUCCUUCCUUCCUGAUGUGCCAGGAGUCGCCAAGCCCACAAAGCUUCCUUCCCAGUCUCGCUGGGGUUCGUCUCCCGCAGCACCUUGGCCUGAGUUCCAGCCCUCCUCCCCUCUCCUCAGGACUCAGGCCCCUUUCCAGUGCGCCCGGCACUGGCUGCCAGAGACAUCUGGCCACUGCAGGACUCUUACCACAUACCCGCCCAACAAGCUGCGGUGAUUCUCUUCGCCUACUGCUGCAAGUCCAGGGGCCCCGUAAAGCAGCCCCUCUCUGACUUCCUUUCCUGUCAGAUCUGUCUUCUCACCCAUCAUUCAGUUUCCUGUGCUCCCUCUGGCUAGAAUGCCCUCCCCCUUCGUGUAUCCAGCCGUAACUACCCAUGAGUCAAGACCUGGAAAGGUAAAUUCCAUUGUAUGCUGUUUUCCCACUCUGCUUAAUAAAUAUAACAGCCCGGAGCUCUCUAAUGAGAACUCUGAGAUUAUUUGCAUGGUCUAUGUGAAAGAGAGCCAUGAUUGAUUGGUGAUGUCUCCCAUGUCAUGGGGUUGAUGUCGUCAUGGGUGUAGGAGGGAGAAAUAGUUGACUAGUGAUGUCUGCCAUGGGUAAAGGAGGGAGCCAUGGGUAAAGGAGGGAGACACAGAAGUAAGUUGCUUUGUCUUGAG